rnacentral:rRNA from 1 species
GACGAACGCUGGCGGCGUGCUUAACACAUGCAAGUCGAACGGAAAGGCCCUGCUUUUGUGGGGUGCUCGAGUGGCGAACGGGUGAGUAACACGUGAGUAACCUGCCCUUGACUUUGGGAUAACUUCAGGAAACUGGGGCUAAUACCGGAUAGGAGCUCCUGCUGCAUGGUGGGGGUUGGAAAGUUUCGGCGGUUGGGGAUGGACUCGCGGCUUAUCAGCUUGUUGGUGGGGUAGUGGCUUACCAAGGCUUUGACGGGUAGCCGGCCUGAGAGGGUGACCGGCCACAUUGGGACUGGGAUACGGCCCAGACUCCUACGGGAGGCAGCAGUGGGGAAUAUUGCAAAAGGGGCGGAAGCCUGAUGCAGCAACGCCGCGUGCGGGAUGACGGCCUUCGGGUUGUAAACCGCUUUCGCUCAUGACGAAGCUUUGUGUGACGGUAGUGGGUAAAGAAGCACCGGCUAACUACGCG